rnacentral:pre_miRNA from 1 species
CUUGUACUCCCUCCGUCCGAAAAUACUUGCCAUUGAAAUGGAUGUAUUUAGAUGUAUUUUAGUUCUAGACACAUCCAUUUUGAUGACAAGUAAUUCCGGACGGAGGGAGUACUUG